ACGGGGUUUCACUGUGUUAGCCAGGAUGGUCUCGAUCUCCUGACCUCAUGAUCUGCCUGCCUCUGCCUCCCAAAGUGCUGGGAUUACAGCCGUGAGCCACCGCGCCCUGCCUCCGUCACUUUCUUCAGGGGAAAGAGCAUCCAUAUAGCAUCCUUGGGAAGAGCGUUCAUGGGAAGCCACUGAAGAAUUUCUCAUCAAAUUCAAGACUACAUAUUUCUCAUGACCAUUCUGAAAGGGAAAGGAGAGUGGUAAGGAUGGAUCUUGUAGUCUUCUAGUUUUCAGUUGAAAUUAAAUAACCCAACCAAGAUGAUUGUUUUUUUUUUUUUUGCUGUCAGCCUUAUCAGCCAUUAUUGCAGGUCAACCCCUGACGAGUUGUGCAGGGUGAGGGUAGCAUCGAACUAGAGUUCUGGCUGUUGCUUUGCGUUUUGUGUGUGUUUGCAUGUGUUCUCUGUAAAGUGAGCAGAGGAUCCUUCAGAAAGGGAGCAGAUUCCAAGGGUAAGAAGGGAUUUCACUUAUA